UACGGGGGGCAGCAGUGGGGAAUAUUGGACAAUGGCGCAAGCCUGAUCCAGCCAUGCCGCGUGUGUGAAGAAGGCCUCGGGUUGUAAAGCACUUUCAGUGGGGAAGAAAGCCUUCCGGUUAAUACCCGGAGGAGGGACAUCACCCACAGAAGAAGCACCGGCUAACUCCGUGCCAGCAGCCGCGGUAA
rnacentral:rRNA from 1 species